rnacentral:lncRNA from 1 species
UGGCGGACAAUUUCUCUCGCCUUGGAUCUGAAACCAGUAGUAACCACCAACUUCAAUCAGUUAUUAUGACUAACAAUUGAAAUAGGAAUCUGACAUUCCCGCCGAGGAGGGCAUGCUAGCUAGCUACCGUGUUUUGAUUCAUAUCAGGCAUUUUCUUAUGAAACAGCUCAACUAGCUCGACUCGGGAGCUCAUCAUGCCAGGGGACAUACUGUAGGCUUCCGGAGCCAGCUAGUUAUUAUUCCACCAUGGGCAACAACAACUAGUUACCAGUUCGUUUAACUAAAUAUGUUCCAACUCAUAGCUAGUUUAUCCAGUGACCACCGCAUUUAGAAAGAUAGCAACUGACUGAACUCUAGCAAGCUGGCUAGCUAGCAUGCUAGCUCACACUGGCCAUGUAGUAGCCAAUACCAGACCGGUUGUGGAAAGGCUAAAUGAUAAACACUAGGCCUACUGUAAAACCCUUCAUGUUAACUUUACAUGACACCUUCCAUUGCUUUUUGACCAUCCCUGAAGGAAUUAGGCCUACAAUUGCAAGAUCAUACAAAGUACCCCUCCCUCUCUCGGGGUCUGAGGGGAGGGUUCAUCUCCCUGGACACCAUGUCUGUCAGCCCCACAGGGCCAAUCGGUUGUAUAAACCCAGACACAGCGGCUACGCCUUCCUUUGAUGUCAACCAACGAGACCAGAAAUGUGUAUUCUGUGCCUCGAGGGCAAAGCCUUCCCACAAAACCAGUGUUAACCAUCAUGCAUCACUGGAGCUCCUGCAUGUCUGCAUAUUCUACCACCGCUCUCCUCUCUCAGACUUCUCAGUCUCUGUUCACACUUUAUGUAGUGUCAUCUAGUAUGGAAAGGAGGCAACAAUGGCUCUCCCGACUGAAGAGUGAAUUCGGCAACAGCCCCUUGGUCUCCAACGUGGCUUUCGGCUUCAUCCUGAUGGGCUUGGAGAAGCUGGUUGAGCUGGAGUUCGAGUGUCCGUGCGACCCCAAAUGGAACGGGCUAUUUUCUUCCGCCUUCUUCGUCAUUCCUGCUAUCAUGGCCUUCAUGCUGAUGCUAAUCAUCCAGGACUGCAGGUACGACCUGAGCGGCUGCCCCAGGACAGUGUCCAUCUCCAGCCUGGUUCCGCCCAUCGUCUGGCUGAUCCUGCUCUUCCUGGAUGGACAGUACUUUGCGUGUGCGCUAACAGACUGGAACGGCAGGUUUGUGAUUGUUGACAAGGCGGCUCCUCAGAAGUGGUGUGAGCCUCCUCAUGACGAUGGCACGCUGCAGGAUCUCAUGGUGCACUCUCAGGAAUUAUUUGUGGAGUCUCAGGUUAUUGGUAUUGCUCUGUUGAUAUUCAUCUGUGUGGGACUCAUAGUGUACGUGAUCAGAGAGAGCUGCCAGCAGGAAGAGGAACUCCAGGAAGUCAACAACACUUAUGAGAUGUAUGAGAUGACAUGACUUCGACAACAUCAUUAAGCCAAAACCAGUUUUUUGAAGCUAUGGGAGAGAAUUCAUAAUGUUUUCUCUUUCAAAUGCCUCAAGACUGCAAGACCUUGUCUCUCCAGCAACUUCUAAAGGGAAGGGAACACUGCCGGUACCUCCCUCUCCAACCAAGGAGCAUGAACAGAGGUGCAAACAGAGGAAAGGAGGAAAUUCACCAACUCUUGGCGAUAGAAAUACUUGUUCUUGUUAAAACCAACACGUUUUGGCCUGUAGCCUUCUUCAGGGUCCAGUGACUUUUACCUUUCCUGCAAACUGUACAUGAAUGUUAUACUUUUGAAAAUGAUACUUUUCUGAUGAACAGUUUUUUAAAGUAGCCGGAGGGUGGGGGUAUUUUUGUUGGUCUAUCUGCGCUUUAGAAAUGUUCUCUGUAGGUGUCAAUGUGUCCCAAUUUUUAUAAAUAUUAAAAUGUGUUAAGGUAUGGUCACGUUUGUAUGUAAGGUAGUUAUAGCAACUAAUAAAAUAAUGUUUUCCUACUUUUUUGAUAGAUUUGGUCAGGUUGCGUUGACAUCAAAUUGCCCAGCUAUCAUUUAUACUAAACAAUCAAAUAGGAGCUUUUACAAACAUUGG